rfam:Operophtera brumata OBRT01_Sc01220, whole genome shotgun sequence.
UGCUACUUGCAUUUGAUGAGUGUUGGUCAAGUGCACAGUCAACUCCUGUGACUAGAUCUACACUCAUUGAUUGCUAGUAGUU